GCCCGGCUAGCUCAGUCGGUAGAGCAUGAGACUCUUAAUUUCAGGGUCAUGGGUUUGUUCCCCAUGUUGGGCA
rnacentral:tRNA from 2 species